UCCUGCUGCCAGGGUCCCAUGCGCUGGGAUCUUGUCAGAUCUCACAAGCUAAGCAAGGCCAGACCUGGUCACGUGGAUGGGGAGACCAAGGUGCUGCAGGAA
ensembl:rRNA 5S_rRNA 5S ribosomal RNA